UUCUUCUGUCAUUUGAUCUCAAUUUAUAUGUUAAUCGAGCCUUGUCAUCGUGUUCAUGAAAGGAUGAAUGAAACACGUAUUCUGGUCAGUAAAUUGACGUAUAGCGUCACCAGUGUAGGUGAUCCGAUUGCAAUCGAGUUGGAUAUUUUUUAUAAACAACUCGAACUAUACAUGCCUACUAUCACGUCGUUUGUUUUCGAUCUUCACAGAGCUCAAUUAUCAGUUGUAAUGAUUGGUGUAUUGACUUAUUUAACGAUUAUAAUUCAACAUUUUCAC